rnacentral:rRNA from 1 species
AUUGAACGCUGGCGGCAGGCCUAACACAUGCAAGUCGAGCGGAUGAAGGGAGCUUGCUCCUGGAUUCAGCGGCGGACGGGUGAGUAAUGCCUAGGAAUCUGCCUGGUAGUGGGGGAUGACGUCCGGAAACGGGCGCUAAUACCGCAUACGUCCUGAGGGAGAAAGUGGGGGAUCUUCGGACCUCACGCUAUCAGAUGAGCCUAGGUCGGAUUAGCUAGUUGGUGGGGUAAAGGCCUACCAAGGCGACGAUCCGUAACUGGUCUGAGUGGAUGAUCAGUCACACGGGAACUGGGACACGGUCCAGGCUCCUACGGGAGGCAGCAGUGGGGAAUAUUGGACAAUGGGCGGAAGCCUUAUCCAGCCAUGCCGCGUGUGUGAAGAAGGUCUUCGGAUUGUAAAGCACUUUAAGUUGGGAGGAAGGGCAGUAAGUUAAUACCUUGCUGUUUUGACGUUACCAACAGAAUAAGCACCGGCUAACUUCGUG